rnacentral:lncRNA from 1 species
UAUCGUUCGCACGAAAGAGUGAUUGAUCUUUUUUCACAUCAUCAAUCAUUAGACCGUAUUCUACAAAAAUUUUGAUUUUAAAGUACUCCAAAUUUUUUUAUUCAUUAAAUAGAUUUUGAAAUAACUAUUGCACGAUCUAGUGAUGGAUUCAUACAAAAAGAGAUGAAUCCUUUUUUCAUGGCAAAGAUAAAAUCUCUGUAUGUCUCUCAUAAUCUUAUAUGUUUGACUACUGCUCAUCUAUCAACUAAACGUGCAAUUACCCUGCUCCACUUCUUCAGUCCUAUAUUUUCUCCUUCCGUCUCUCUAGAUCUCUUUGCCAGAGACUAUGUACUAAC